UUGCACUUUCAUGACAAAAAAAUUAGCAGAACUAGAAUUAGUACUUUUCCUUAUAUGAAAUUUUUAUUUUUUAAGCAUGCAAAUAUAACUUUGAUUAUGUUAUUAAUUAGUUAUGAAAUAAGUUAUAACCGAAUAGCCAAACCGAAAAAAACCAAACCGAAAAGAGAAAAACCGAACCGAACCAAUUUUUUUUUGGUUCGGAUUGGGUUAUACUUUUUCAAACCGAAAACCGAAAAACCCAAACCGAAUAACACAAAACCGAACCGAAAAACCGAAUGCAC
rnacentral:lncRNA from 1 species